rnacentral:lncRNA from 1 species
AUACAACCUAUGGCUUUGAGUGGAACAUGAGUAUAUCUUCAUGCUAGUUACCUCAUGAGAGCAGUAGGCAGAUCAGCCAGAACAAGAGAUAUGCAGUGGAAUUGCUCACCACCCGUCAUCCAAAGCCGAACCUGUUGCUGAGCAGCAGCAUCUCCCCCCCAGCCAGCUCCCCACAGGGAGGACUGAAUAUUGUGGGCAAUUAUGUUACAUAAUCCAGAGAAUCUGUUCCAUGGAGAUGGGCAGUACCACAUGAAGAACAUUCAGGGACUGGCAACAAUUUCUAGAUGCUGCUUGAUUGUGAGAAUAGAGACAUUUUUAGAGAUGCUGAAGAGACUGCCCAGGAACAAACUUGUACCUUUUGUAAUGGAUCAUUUCAGCCAUUUUAUGGCAGGUUGUGACAAGGUCUGCAGUUGAUGCAAAAUCCACUGAAUCCCACAGCAGAAGUGUUAGAGAUAGAAAAAGAUCUUUCUGAAAUCUACAGUGACCUUGAUAUAAUGACAUCAAGCACCCCGUCAGAGGUGUGAAAAGACUCCUCAGUCCAGGGUACCUGUGGUUUGUUGGAAAUGAGACACUGCCAGCACUGGGAUUUUGGGGAAGGUUUUCCGUCAUGGAGACAUUAAACAAUGAGACAGUGGUGAUGUUCUGACCCAUGACAAGUCAGAGACAUUUUCUGUGAGACGGUUGAAUCACUGUAUUUAACUAUUCAUCUGCG